UACAGAGGGGGCAAGCGUUGUUCGGAAUUACUGGGCGUAAAGGGCGCGUAGGCGGCCUGCUAAGUCGAACGUGAAAUCCCCGAGCUCAACUCGGGAACUGCGUCCGAUACUGGCAGGCUUGAAUCCGGGAGAGGGAUGCGGAAUUCCAGGUGUAGCGGUGAAAUGCGUAGAUAUCUGGAGGAAUACCGGUGGCGAAGGCGGCAUCCUGGACCGGCAUUGACGCUGAGGAGCGAAAGCGUGGGGAGCGAUCCGG
rnacentral:rRNA from 1 species